rnacentral:tRNA from 1 species
GUUUCUGUAGUGUAGUGGUUAUCACCUUCGCCUCACACGCGAAAGGUCCCCGGUUCGAAACCGGGCAGAAACA